GUUGAGAACCAUAUAAUUGUGUUAAUAAUGGGUUAAAGGACACAAAAAGGUCUAUAUUGUGAGAAACCAAUGCUUUUUGCAAUUAAAUAGCAAUGUGGGAUAACAAUUUUUAAUGCUAAUGAGAAUAAAUGGAAUAAUGUUCAAAAAAUCAUCACAUUUCCUGCAUUAAACAGGGGUCUUAACAUGGGAGCAGGUAUCGAUACACAUGCAUGUCCGAGCAUCGCACCAGGGGCUUUUCGCCCAUCUAAGAAAAGGAGUUCUCAUUCUCACACAAGGAACUGAGAGGCAGUUGGAAGUUAGAUGGGCACAUGAACUACAAAUCAAGUGGGUCUAAAGCUCACUAAGGUGAUAGUUGUUCCAGAUAUAUUUCUCCAACCCAUUUUGUUGGUGGAAAGACCACAAAGUUAAUGGUCUGGUUAAGGCCUGAAAGCUGUGCCUGCACUAAAUAGAAGGCUUGGAAACAGUUCUUCAUUAAGAAAGUAAAGGACAAAAACAAACGACCCCCAUCCUUCAGAAAAAUAGCUGGUUCCCAGCAGAGAAACUAACAAAGGAUCACUAAGGGCAAUUAUUGUUUGUACAGACACAUAACAGCUGUAUUAUUUCAAGAAGAUGACACGAUUCUCUGCCUUUUCACCUCCUUCCUUUUCUCAGAGUCACCUCUUAACUGGAGUUGUCCUUGGGGCCACUCCUUUGUCUAUCUUGGCACUCACGAUCUCAUAUAACUAAGAGCUUUAAUCUCAGGAAGGUUAAGUUUUUAAAAGGAAAAUUUUGCUAAAACUGAUUCGGUUGUCUGAAAACUGCUUCAGCUAUCUGACUUAAUUUCAAGCCAUACAAGGGACCUCAUAGAUCCAUUUGACAAAAAAUGCUUCUGGAAGCUUCGACCCCACUUUUUCAUGUCGAUAAAGUGAGCUGAGCAUAUGGCAAGAUUUGUGCACCAACUAAAGGUUAUCAGACCUGAUUCAAUUGGGUAAAAAAGCUUGACUUCUACAAAUAUUAUUAGUGGAAAUUAUGUAUCUCCAAAAAUUAUCAUUGUUGUGGGCUACAAACUGAAGACAGUGUAAGGAGUUGCAAAAGGAAGUGCACAUUGAAGGGUGGACUCAUAAUAGCCACAAAGUAAACUCUCACCCGGAGCUAGUCUGUUGUCAUGAAGAAUGGCAAUUACUCAUACCCUGCAACUAUUAAUGCAGAAAAGAUAACAUUAAAUUAGUUCACUUGCCUGAUUUGGACAUCUGUGCAUUCAAGUGCUCCAUCAACACAACAAACGAGAACAACAGUACCACUUCAGAUGAAAUGAUGCUUCUACAAAAGCCUAACUGGCCCUUAAAACAAAAUGUUUGUGUGGACUGGCCCAAUGCUUGAUUCCACAAAAGCAAAACUCAUCUUUUAGUGUCCUUCUUAUCAGCUUUUUAAUUAAAAAAUACUUUAUGAUGUACUUUAAAUUCUUAUUGUUUUAAAUUGCAUCUUAAGCAUCUUAAAGAUUUAAAUGUCAUGUAAUUUAUAAAGUAUCUCAAUGCAUUUGGAUUACUAAAAUUUCAUACUCCCAUCAUAGUUGUUUACGCUCAUGCUCGAGAUCGUCAUGAGCAUGUGAGGGCCUUGUCCAUUGACCGGCCUGCACUCGGUUGGGCCAGUGGGCCGGCCCAAAGUGGCCAGCCCAAGGCCACCGUGCCAUGGCGCGAUACAACAGAGAAGAAGAAGACUCCGAAUCCUUCUCCAAAUCCGGCUGAGACUUCGCCUAUUUAACUUCCUUCUUCCUCCUUGGAUUUCCUCGAAACGCCAAAGAUCGCCGCCGAUUUCAAGCUUCUUCUCUGAGCCUUCUUCCUCGUUUCCUCGCCGAAAAGAGCCACCGGAGGCUUUGCCGGACCAAAGUAACUACCCAACGUCUCCUCUUUCUUUUCCUGGUUUUAGAGAUGAUUCCAUGAUGAGUUCGGUUAAAGAAUCAUCGGAUUACCUUCUGAAACAGAGGUGCCCUAUUUUGGCUUCUUCCUCCUGUGCUCGCCGCCGCCGACUGCUGGGAUUAGCUAAGCUCUGCCACCUUCCGAGAGCUCUGAGAGCAUGUGGCUGCCCAUUAGAGAGUUAGCCAUAGUUCAUGCUGAGUUUGAUCAUUUUUUUUAUCGUCUUCUUCCUUUCUUGUGCCAGCCGGCGACCGUCGCCGGUGGUGCCACGGCCGAAGGGCCACCAAGGCCGUCGUCGCUGAGGAUUGGGCCAUAAUCCUAACUAAUGUUGGCUUUGAAAGCUAAUGUAAUGUUGGCUUCGUGUUAUCGUGGAUUGUACCCCUUGGUAGCACGACUAUGUCAUGCUUUAAAUCUGAGGCGUGACAAAUAUGGUUCAGAGCUUCAAAUUUGUGAGCUAGCUCAUUCCCUCUCUCGUCCUCUCCUUAUAUCCCCUACACCACUGCUUUGAGGCUAAUACCAAUAUGUUGACCCCCAACCAUCGAAUCGCUUUGAGAUCCGUGUCAGUAUAAGUUAAAAUUUGUAAGCUCUUUGGAAUUCAGCUCAUUCUCUCUCUCUACUCCUCUCCUCAUCUCCCUCCUCUAACCCUUACCCUUGCUACCGUACCCCCCACUUCCAUCUUCUGACACUGCUCCAGUUCAUUCCCUCUCUCGUUCUCUUCUCAUUUUCCUCCCCCAAACCUUACCCCUUGCUACCGUACCCCCACUUCCAUCUCCUGACGCUGCCCUCCUCUUUCCUCCCCUUCCUCUAUUGCGCCCGCAGCAUGGGAAGAGGAUGGUCGUCUUCUCUUUCUGGCACCCCCCAAUGUUCCAUCCUAGGAAAGGAAGAAGGAGAGGAAAAAAACUUACAUUUUAGGUCAGCGGCGUCCUCCCUUUCUUAGAUAAUGACACGGAAGAGGAUGGUUGCAGGUCUCCUACAGCAACCCUCCAAUAUUCUGAUGAGAAACGGACACGGGAGGGAAGAAACAUCCUAUGGUCAUGUGGUCACAAUGCUUUUCGGGCAACCACAUAUAACAGAGCAGUGAUCUCUGCACCUUGCCACAGCUGGAAUGACGAAGUGACCGUACCUGCAGCAGAUAUGGUGACGCGACCGCAGACAUCCUUCUGCGAGCGGGAUGGCACGGUCACGCGUGCCUGCAGACUGAUCUCCUUUAUUUUUUUCUCUGUUUUUUUUUCUUGCUUCAUCAAGACAGCUACUGCUGUCAUCUGCCCCAGCUACGGUGAGGCGGCCACACACAUCCACCUGGCUGCAUGAUGGCACAGUCAGGCCUGCCUUCAGAGUUUUUUUCUUGUUUCAGUGGGCUACAUUUCAUGGUUCAUUCAUUAAGACAUGUAUUGUUUUCUUUUUUUCUUUUUUUUCCUCUACCUUUUGGUUCAGAGGGAAGCCAUUUCACGGUUUAUUUAUUAAGACAGGUACUGUUGGGCUAUGUUUUACGAUUCAUUCAUUAAUGCAGGUACUAUUUGCUCUAUUUUUUUUCAUGUAUGCCUUUUGUUUUUUUCUUGUUUCAGUGGGCUAUGCACUCUAGAGCUUAUGCUGCAGAGCGAUCUCCCCAAACCUUUCAAACUGGCUGGACCGCGCUGCGUGGAGGUCUCCGAUGCCGACAUCUGGGUGAACUUUACUGCGACACUUGUCAUUCUGGGAGACCACCAGGUUCUCCUUUAAUGUAUUGUAUAGAUUUGUCUCUUGCACUACAUAUGCUAGGAUGCAUCUCCUAACAGACGCCAUUCUCUAAAACUAUAGAACACUUUCGUUCCAGAUAUGUCAAGUUAUGGGACAGUAUCGGUUGAGAAAGAUAAACGUUCACUGAAAAAUGAAGUACAAUUGGCUGAAAAAACAA